CGGGGUGUGGCUCAGUUUGGCUAGAGCGCCGUCUUAGGGAGGCGGAGGCCGCAAGUUCAAAUCUUGUCACUCCGA
rnacentral:tRNA from 1 species